CCGCCGGCGUCGGCUCCCGGUCCCGCUGGGUGUUCCCCCGCAACGUCGCGUACACCACCACGCGUGCGGGACGCCAAUGUCGGCCUCACCCUCAGUCUCUGGCGGAGAAAAGGGGAAACCGCUAAGGACGGAUGGGGCGUGCCUCCCGGCUUCUGACUCAGGUUUGACACCCAUUGUUCAAAAGACACAAAGUGAACACCGUUCUUGAGGUUGGAGGACACGUGGCUGGCCUCAAAGGGGACUCUCCUCCACCGCUGGAUGCGAAAAGGAUUCGAAGAGAAAUGACGCAGGACAGCCUGGUUGACAUCUAGAGUUUGGACAAUUAGCCGAUGUAUACAUAUACGGUUUUAACAUCUGAAGAGGAUAGAAUGAAAAAAGAAAUGAGAAAUCAGCUUAUUGUGAAGCUUGUGAGAAAAAAAAAUAAG